GCUACGGGGGGCAGCAGUGGGGAAUAUUGCACAAUGGGGGAAACCCUGAUGCCUCUCCCACGCUUUCUUUCCUCCUUCUCUCUUUCCUUCCCUCUCUCUCCUCCUUUAAUAUAAUGACGGUACCUGACCAAGAAGCCCCGGCUAACUACGUGCCAGCAGCCGCGGUAAUACGUAGGGGGCAAGCGUUAUCCGGAUUUACUGGGUGUAAAGGGAGCGUAGACGGCAGCACAAGUCUGGAGUGAAAUCCCGGGGCUUAACCCCGGAACUGCUGUGGAAACUGUGCGGCUGGAGUGCAGGAGGGGUAAGCGGAAUUCCUAGUGUAGCGGUGAAAUGCGUAGAUAUUAGGAGGAACACCGGUGGCGAAGGCGGCUUACUGGACUGUAACUGACGUUGAGGCUCGAAAGCGUGGGGAGCAAACAGGAUUAGAUAAACGAGUAGUC
rnacentral:rRNA from 1 species